rnacentral:rRNA from 1 species
GGUGGGGAUCGCUCAUAGCGUAUAUUAAAGUUGUUGCAGUUAAAAAGCUCGUAGUUGAACCUUGGGCCUGGCUGGCCGGUCCGCCUCACCGCGUGUACUGGUCCGGCCGGGCCUUUCCUUCUGGGGAACCUCAUGCCCUUCACUGGGCGUGUUGGGGAACCAGGACUUUUACUUUGAAAAAAUUAGAGUGUUCAAAGCAGGCCUUUGCUCGAAUACAUUAGCAUGGAAUAAUAGAAUAGGACGUGUGGUUCUAUUUUGUUGGUUUCUAGGACCGCCGUAAUGAUUAAUAGGGAUAGUCGGGGGCAUCAGUAUUCAAUCGUCAGAGGUGAAAUUCUUGGAUUGAUUGAAGACUAACUACUGCGAAAGCAUUUGCCAAGGAUGUUUUCAUUAAUCAGUGAACGAAAGUUAGGGGAUCGAAGACGAUCAAGAUACCGU